rnacentral:snRNA from 2 species
UGUCCUUUCGGAACAUCCGAAUAAAAUUGAAACUAUACAGAGAAGAUUAGCAUGGAUGAAACCAGUGUUCUUCGAAUUUUCGUUUUCU